rnacentral:rRNA from 1 species
UACGUAGGGGGCAAGCGUUAUCCGGAUUUACUGGGUGUAAAGGGAGCGUAGACGGCGAUGCAAGUCUGAAGUGAAAGCCCGGGGCUCAACCCCGGGACUGCUUUGGAAACUGUAUGGCUGGAGUGCUGGAGAGGCAAGCGGAAUUCCUAGUGUAGCGGUGAAAUGCGUAGAUAUUAGGAGGAACACCAGUGGCGAAGGCGGCUUGCUGGACGAUGACUGACGUUGAGGCUCGAAAGCGUGGGGAGCAAACAGG